rnacentral:tRNA from 1 species
AGGGGCGUAGCUCAGUUGGUAGAGCAUUGGUCUCCAAAACCAAGGGUCGCAUGUUCGAGUCGUGUCGCCCCUGCCA